ACUCUAAAAGCUUUGAUGAAGCAUUGGUCUUGUAAACCAAAGAAGGAAUAUUUCCUUAGAGUA
rnacentral:tRNA from 1 species